rnacentral:lncRNA from 1 species
UAAGGUAAAAGGUAUAAACAUUAUAACAUAGAAAGAUCAGUGACAGCAUCAACAGGUGGCAGUCUGGUAUAACCAAUGCACUGUACUGUAUAUCAGAACAGUUGAUACAGGUGUAAGCUGAACCCAUAAGGAAUAUUCCCAGAUGAAAUUAAUGUUAGUCUAUAGACAGCUGAUAGUUGACUUUGACCUCAGUUUGUAAAAUAAUUAAAUUAGUAUUUAAUGAAAAGGUUCUUCUGAAAUUAGAUACAACCAAGUUCUGUAUCACCUGCAGAUGGAGGUGGUUUUACUUCCUGCCAACAUUUACUAACAACUGAUUUAAGAUACAGAAAUGUUUAUUGGUGUAUGUAACUGUUUAUAUCUACGAAUGGAGGUUAAAAAAUGUGCAAAAACAUAGAUUAAUUUGUUCCCCCAAGUUGAGAAUAGCUGAGAUAAAGCUGACCUCACUUCCUCUCACUCAUGUCAUUAAUACGUAGUGGAAGCACUUGGUGAAAGAAGUCACGAUGAACACAUUCCUUAGUGCAUCAGUAUACAUAAUGAUAUUUACAGCUGCCUGUCUUGGUAAAACUGUUCAACAGACGCCUGACAAACUCAUCAAGAAUCAAGAUGAAUCUGCUGUGGUCAUGUGCUCUCACAAGAUACCAAGCUAUGAACGAAUACUAUGGUACAAACAAAGUCAGGACUCAUUGGGCUUAAAGUUGAUGGGAUAUCUUAAUUAUGAUGCUAAGAAUAAAGAGCCUGAAUUUGAAAACAAGAUCAAUCUGGAUGGAGAUGGGAGAGAUGAUGGCACUCUGAUUAUCAGCAACCUCACACUGACUGACAGUGCAGUGUAUUUCUGUGCAGCAUAUUACACAGUGCUCAGAAUCCUCUCUGUCUGAUCAAAAACCCCUUUUUAACCGACUUGCUUCUGUGAAAGGCAUAUUUAUUUCUCUCCACACCUGUGAGUUUUUGAUUCAAGGCCAAUAACACAGUAGGUCUAGCAAAUAGAGCAAAAAGAAAGAAAGAAAGAAAAGGGUUUAGAUUAUGCAUAUUAGGUAAUAAAUAAUUAUAAUUAAAUCUAAAAUAAUUACAAAUGAAUUAUUUGAAUUAUGGCACUCUGAUUAUCAGCAACCUCACACUGACUGACAGUGCAGUGUAUUUCUGUGCAGCAUAUUACACAGUGCUCAGAAUCCUCUCUGUCUGAUACAAAAACCUCUUUUAACCGGCUUGCUUCUGUGAAAGGCAUAUUUAUUUCUCUCCACACCUGUGAGUUUU